ensembl:lncRNA
AGGAUGCUGGCUCUGCACUGCCUGGGAGGGCUGGGGUCUGAGCUAAAUCACAGCUCCGAUCUGCUGUCAUCUCCACAGGUUGGAGAUGCCCAUCUCUGAGAGCCCACAGCUCCCGGACCAGGAGAUGAUUUGCCAUCCUUGGAAGCCUUCUGGGAUCUCACCAUCUAGUGUGUGCUUGGGAGAGCUCCAUCUCUGUUAAGGGAAAAGGACUUUUCCUCAUGAGAAGAGGUCAUGGCUCUGUCUGUAGGCUGGAGAAGAGGUGAAGCAGGCUGUCUGUGUGGAUGCCUCAUGUGCCAUCUAGGGACUCUGCUGUGCUUACAUAGACUGGGAGGAAACCCAGAUGAGUGAGUUAUAUGCUUGUUAAUGUUCAUUAGGCUCUUGGUCUCACAAUUUUCCUGCUUCUUUCUGCCUGUUUUAAAAAGCCCACAUGUUGCUGGGCAUGGAGAUGGAGUGGAAGCAACUCACUGCUGCAGGGAGUGGGGUCCAGAGUUGUAGCAAACAGGGCAGGGACGUGCUCUGGGAGAAACAGAGCAAUGGCUUUGCUGAUUUGUGUUGCCAUUUUGUGAGUUUUCAGGCUCGUGUGUUCAAAUGGAAGCAGAAAUCCUGGGAUACCUAAUUAAUUUUCUGAGAAAAGAGCAGGUGUCUGAGCAGGGCUGAAGGGUUCCUGCCUGGGGAGCUCCUCUGUGAACAUGAGCAGCCCGUGGUUCUGUUGCUGGCCAUGUCUGAACCAGGAAAUGCAUUUCACACUUAGGUGUAAUGACAUUUCCUCCUUCGAUUGCUGCUUUGAUUUGUGGAGCGCCCUGCUUCUCAGUCAGUCCUCCUCCCCGCCAGGGCAGCUCACCCAAAUGCAGCUCUGUUAAUACGGAUGCUCUCUGGGGUUGCUGCUCAAGGGAAGUCAGACACUGCUGCAGAACAGUCCUCAUUCUGCCUUUCCGCAGUACCUUACGGGGCACCCUGCUGUGCUCCCUGCUGUGGGCGAUCAUCCACAGACAGUCAGCAGCACUGCAGCUCUGGGGGACAGCCUUCCCUGUGUG